rnacentral:rRNA from 1 species
GACGAACGCUGGCGGCGUGCUUAACACAUGCAAGUCGAACGCUGAAGCUCAGCUUUUGUUGGGUAGAUGAGUGGCGAACGGGUGAGUAACACGUGAGUAACCUGCCUCCUUCUUUGGGAUAACGCCCGGAAACGGGUGCUAAUACUGGAUAUUCACUGGUCUUCGCAUGGGGGUUGGUGGAAAGGGUUUUUCUGGUGGGGGAUGGGCUCGCGGCCUAUCAGCUUGUUGGUGGGGUGAUGGCCUACCAAGGCUUUGACGGGUAGCCGGCCUGAGAGGGUGACCGGUCACAUUGGGACUGAGAUACGGCCCAGACUCCUACGGGAGGCAGCAGUGGGGAAUAUUGCACAAUGGGCGCAAGCCUGAUGCAGCGACGCCGCGUGAGGGAUGGAGGCCUUCGGGUUGUGAACCUCUUUCGCUCAUGGUCAAGCCGCAACAAUGGUUGUGGUGAGGGUAGUGGGUAAAGAAGCGCCGGCUAACUACGUG